GCUACAAAUUGACGUAUAUAAAGAAAAGAAAGGGGAAUUCUACCGCGAUAUUUGCCGACAAAAAUCGAUACAGAAAAUAGAACAAAUGACAGAAAUACAAAACAAGCUACAGAAGCGGAAGUGGGAAGGUUCUUGUAUUUUGACUGUAAAUAGAUACCGCUUGCUAAUCAUCACAGGCUCAUUUGCAGAUAACUGAGUUAUCUGCUAGCAGAUAACUGAAUUUUCUGUAGGUUGCGUGAUUGCGCGAUUUAACUGUAAGCUCUUAGCCAAUCAAAUUGCUUUUACCAACUACAAUGUAUAAUAAUUAUAGUUAUUUAGCCCGCACAGACACAAAGUUUAAUAAAAUGUAAAAUAUACUAUUUUUAAACUUAAAAUUUGAAGUCUAAGCUAAAUAUUAAAUUUUACACAAAAAUAUAACACUCUGUCUUUACAUCUAAACCAGAAAUAUCUAGUCAAAUAUUGAAUCUCAUAGACUGUCGUAUGUACAAUGUCAAUGGAAAGGAAGUAUAUGACGAUACGAGAUUCAUAAUCUAUUACAAUUGUUCCUGCCCAUACUGUUCGAUCCUUGCUGCCCAAUGCUGCUGGCGUCUUCAUAUUUAACAACGAUCGGGCUUGUGUGUCUUGAGAAGCGUUCAUUUAAUGUAGGUAACGUCUGUGUAUAAAAACAGAAUAUGAAACAUGGAUUCGACAAGUCAAACUCGCAUCUAACCAUAAGGGACCGGUCAUUAAUUAUAG